rnacentral:rRNA from 1 species
AGUGGCGAACGGGUGAGUAAAGUAUCGGAACGUGCCCAGUCGUGGGGGAUAACGUAGCGAAAGUUACGCUAAUACCGCAUACGAUCUAUGGAUGAAAGCGGGGGAUCGCAAGACCUCGCGCGAUUGGAGCGGCCGAUAUCAAAUUAGGUAGUUGGUGGGGUAAAGGCUCACCAAGCCGACGAUCUGUAGCUGGUCUGAGAGGACGACCAGCCACACUGGGACUGAGACACGGCCCAGACUCCUACGGGAGGCAGCAGUGGGGAAUUUUGGACAAUGGGCGCAAGCCUGAUCCAGCCAUGCCGCGUGCAGGAUGAAGGCCUUCGGGUUGUAAACUGCUUUUGUACGGAACGAAAAGGUUUGGCCUAAUAAGCUGAGCUCAUGACGGUACCGUAAGAAUAAGCACCGGCUAACUACGUGCCAGCAGCCGCGGUAAUACGUAGGGUGCGAGCGUUAAUCGGAAUUACUGGGCGUAAAGCGUGCGCAGGCGGUUAUGUAAGACAGAUGUGAAAUCCCCCGGGCUCAACCUGGGAACUGCAUUAGUGACUGCAUAGCUGGAGUACGGCAGAGGGGGGAUGGAAUUCCGCGUGUAGCAGUGAAAUGCGUAAAAUAUGCCGAAGGAACCCCGAUGGCGAAGCAUCCCCCUUGGGCCUGUACUGACGCUCAUGCACGAAAGCGUGGG